rnacentral:lncRNA from 1 species
UCUGUGUGUGUGUGUGUCCCUCUGUCUGUGUGUGUGUGUCCCUCUGUCUGUGUGUGUGUGUGUCCCUCUGUCUGUGUGUGUGUGUCCCUCUGUCUGUGUGUGUGUGUGUCCCUCUGUCUGUGUGUGUGUGUGUGUGUCCCUCUGUCUGUGUGUGUGUGUGUGUCCCUCUGUGUCUGUGUGUGUGUGUGUCCCUCUGUGUCUGUGUGUGUGUGUGUCCCUCUGUCUGUGUGUGUGUGUGUGUCCCUCUGUGUCUGUGUGUGUGUGUGUGUGUGUCCCUCUGUGUCUGUGUGUGUGUGUGUGUGUCCCUCUGUGUCUGUGUGUGUGUGUGUGUGUGUCCCUCUGUGUCUGUGUGUGUGUAUUUAGUUCUUCUGUAGGAUGUGCAACAGUUGUAUAGUACAUCUCUUGUGAUUGGAUGCUCACGUGUUCGCUGUCUAUCUAAAUACUACUGCCUCCCUUCAAGGUGUGAUUGGUACUUGUAGUUCUCCCUGGUAGUAUGUGGAGGGAGAAUUGUGUGGUUUGUACUUGUAGUAUGUGGAGGGAGAGGUGUGUGUAGUCUUGUUACCGUGUGCUUCCUGAUCCUCUUCCAUCUCAUAUGAAUAAUGCAGUAGUAUAACAGGAGGCUGCUGGCUGGCUCACUGUGCCCAGCCUGAGGCCCAAUGGCACCCUAGUUCCUAUAUAGGGCGGCAGGUAGCCUAGUGGUUAGAGCAUUGGACCAGCACCCUAUAACACCUACCAUACCACUAUGGCUGACCCUGUACAACAACACCUACCAUACCACUAUGGCUGACCCUGUACAACAACACCUACCAUACCACUAUGGCUGACCCUGUACAACAACACCUACCAUAC